UACGUAGGGGGCGAGCGUUGUCCGGAUUUAUUGGGCGAAAGAGCUCGUAGGCCGUUCGGUAAGUCAGAUGUGAAAACUCCAGGCUCAACUUGGAGAGGCCAUCUGAUACUGCUGUGACUAGAGUCCGGUAGGGGAGCACGGAAUUCCUGGUGUAGCGGUGAAAUGCGCAGAUAUCAGGAGGAACACCAGCGGCGAAGGCGGUGCUCUGGGCCGGAACUGACGCUGAGGAGCGAAAGCGUGGGUAGCGAACAGG
rnacentral:rRNA from 1 species